rnacentral:rRNA from 1 species
UACGUAGGGUGCAGGCGUUAAUCGGAAUUACUGGGCGUAAAGCGUACGCAGGCGGCUGCGCAAGACAGGUGUGAAAUCCCCGGGCUCAACCUGGGAAUUGCAUUUGUGACUGCACGGCUAGAGUGUGUCAGAGGGGGGUAGAAUUCCACGUGUAGCAGUGAAAUGCGUAGAGAUGUGGAGGAAUACCGAUGGCGAAGGCAGCCCCCUGGGAUAACACUGACGCUCAUGCACGAAAGCGUGGGGAGCAAACAGG